GCGGGCACAGGGAGCGUGUGUUUCAGCCACACUACGGUUAAACAGCCGCCGAUUGUGACGGCUUUGAUUCUCAGGCUUACACGGCAUACUUAUUCCAUGAUGUAAUCUUUAUUGAACCUGGAAGCCUGGGGGUGGGGGGCAGGGGGCGAGUGGAGCCCGCUGCUGCCGCCGCCGCGGGAAGCCCCGGGAGUUAAUAUCGCAGUCACCGUGGGCACCGCCGCUGCUUUUCAUGGAAGGAACCAGUUACAGGAGGCAAGUCAACAGAAGGCCAAUCAAAACUGAUGGAAGUUCUCUGGAGCCUGGUUUUGGCUGCUCGUGCAGUUUCUCCCCUUGCCAUCUUUAAAAGCAUCAAGGAAGGUAUUUCAGGGAAAGUCUGAGUACCUAGAAGCCUCCCAUGUCAAGAUAAGAUAAACUGUGCCCUGAACAUGCCUACUGCCCUCCUUGGAGCAUGAAAAGGAUCUGGAGAACAGCUUCAUCUGAGUUAGGAUCAUUCUUGAAACUGAGUGCUUCAUCUAAAGCAGAAGUAUUUUUUUGUGAAGGGACUCUGGCAUAUAAAAUCUUGUGGGAGGAGUGAAGGGCCACUGCAGAGCUAUGAGGUGGAAAAGGAGCUGGCUAGAGAAGAGAAGACAGUUGGCUAUGCUGGGGCUAUGCUGGGAAUUUCACUCCUGGAAUAUCUCAAGAAGAUUUAUACUUUAAAUAAAUAG